UCCCAUGUGGUCUAGUGGUUAGGAUACCUGGCUCUCAAUCAGGCGGCCCGGGUUCGAUUCCCGGCAUGGGAA